rnacentral:rRNA from 1 species
UACGUAGGGGGCGAGCGUUGUCCGGAAUCAUUGGGCGUAAAGAGCGUGUAGGCGGCUUGGCAAGUCUGACGUGAAAGCCCGCGGCUCAACCGCGGAUUGUCGUUGGAAACUGCCUCGCUAGAGUCCGGAAGAGGAGAGCGGAAUUCCUGGUGUAGCGGUGGAAUGCGCAGAUAUCUGGAAGAACACCAGUGGCGAAGGCGGCUCUCUGGGACGGUACUGACGCUGAGACGCGAAAGCGUGGGGAGCGAACAGG